UACGGAGGGUGCAAGCGUUAUCCGGAUUCACUGGGUUUAAAGGGUGCGUAGGUGGGCAGGUAAGUCAGUGGUGAAAUCUCCGGGCUUAACCCGGAAACUGCCGUUGAUACUAUUUGCCUUGAAUAUUGUGGAGGUGAGCGGAAUAUGUCAUGUAGCGGUGAAAUGCUUAGAUAUGACAUAGAACACCAAUUGCGAAGGCAGCUCACUACACAAUCAUUGACGCUGAGGCACGAAAGCGUGGGGAUCAAACAGG
rnacentral:rRNA from 1 species